rnacentral:rRNA from 1 species
GACGAACGCUGGCGGCGUGGAUUAGGCAUGCAAGUCGGACGGUAGGGCUUUAUCGUAAGAUAGAGUUUGAGAGUGGCGAACGGGUGAGUAACACGUAGGAAUCUACCCUUAAGACGGGGACAACCCAGGGAAACUUGGGCUAAUACCGGAUGAGAGUGCGAGAGAUUGCAUUUAAAAGGAUGGCGAAAGUUGUCGCUUAGGGAUGAGCCUGCGGUCUAUUAGUUAGUUGGUGAGGUAAGAGCUCACCAAGGCGAUGAUAGAUAGGCGGCCUGAGAGGGUGAACGGCCACACUGGGACUGAGACACGGCCCAGACUCCUACGGGAGGCAGCAGUAGGGAAUCUUCCGCAAUGGGCGCAAGCCUGACGGAGCGACGCCGCGUGAGUGAUGAAGGCCUUCGGGUCGUAAAGCUCUGUUCUUGAGGACGAAUAAGCCAGGGAGUGGAAAGCCCUGGUGAUGACUGUACUCAAGGAGAAAGCUCCGGCUAACUACGUGCCAGCACG